rnacentral:rRNA from 1 species
CGGCGGACGGGUGAGUAACACGUGGAUAACCUACCUAUAAGACUGGGAUAACUUCGGGAAACCGGAGCUAAUACCGGAUAAUAUAUUGAACCGCAUGGUUCAAUAGUGAAAGACGGUUUUGCUGUCACUUAUAGAUGGAUCCGCGCCGCAUUAGCUAGUUGGUAAGGUAACGGCUUACCAAGGCAACGAUGCGUAGCCGACCUGAGAGGGUGAUCGGCCACACUGGAACUGAGACACGGUCCAGACUCCUACGGGAGGCAGCAGUC